AUAUAUAUAUAUAUAUUAAUCAUUUAUCGAUUAUGAAGAGCAAGUGUAGUAUACUGUAUGGCAAAAGCUAAAUUAAUUGUCUUUACUUUUAUUCCAAUUUUACGUUUUUGUCCCUCAAAUUAGUGAACAGUUGCUUUCAGACCCCUUCUCUUUUCUCUCUCUCCACCUCACGGCACUUGCGGCCAACGCGGACAGGAGGGUUUUGUCCUCCCGCGCUGUCUGAUGCUUCUUUCUCCAACAGAAACCAAAGCCCGUAGAGAGAGAGAAUGUGAGGCUUCCGAAUGUAUUCCUAAGGCUCGACGGGAACCACCUCUCCACGGUCAACGGCUGCCAGCUCGACAGAAACUCUGUUGGCCGAAUUUCGUGUUGGCAUUUUUUGACGUCUCGUGUUUCGAACUUGAUCGUGUUUUGGGUUGUUGUUAUCAGUGAUCAUUGGGUUAGAUUUUCGCGGGUUCUGCUGGACCUAUGUUUCGUGCAAUUGGGUCCGUCUAGAUGGUUUGCAUGGUUAUCUGUUCGGUUUGAUCUGUCGUUUGUUUCAUUUUACUGGCCCUCAUUCUCAUCAGCUACUUUGGCUGUCUGCUGCGGGUCUCUUUCUUUGAACCUCACUCAUAAAAAAAUUGAUAGAUUUUUUCCCAAGAAAUAUUAUUUGUUUUCUCCCAAUUAUUGAAAGAAGGAUUGAUUUUGUUUUUGUUUGUAAUUAUUGAUGUAAUUUGCUAUCUGUUGGCGCAGAUUUUAUAUGAUCAACAUGUAGAUACAAAUGUUAAAAGCUAGGUAUUUUUGUUUUUUUUUUUUUUUUUUUUUUUUUCCUUUGUGAUGGUUCCAUUAAUGCAAAUUUUAGGUAGAUGUUUUGAUAAGAUUAUUUGCUUGUAAAUUGUAAAGGUUGUUUUGAAUUUAGAGGAUUUAUGUGAGGUGUGAAUUUAAAA